CUGGUGCCAGCAGCCGCGGUAAUUCCAGCUCCAAUAGCGUAUAUUAAAGUUGUUGCAGUUAAAAAGCUCGUAGUUGAAUUUCGGGGUUAGUAGGUUGGUCAUGCCUCUGGUAUGUACUGGUCUCACUGAUUCCUCCUUCCUGAUGAACCUUAAUGCCAUUAAUUUGGUGUUUUGGGGAAUUUGGACUGUUACUUUGAAAAAAUUAGAGUGUUUAAAGCAAGCUAACGCUUGAAUACAUUAGCAUGGAAUAAUGAAAUAGGACGUUCGAUUCUAUUUGUUGGUUUCUAGGAUUGACGUAAUGAUUAAUAGGGAUAGUUGGGGGCAUUAGUAUUCAAUUGUCAGAGGUGAAAUUCUUGGAUUUAUUGAAGACUAACUACUGCGAAAGCAUUUGCCAAGGAUGUUUUCAUUAAUCAAGAACGAAAGUUAGGGGGAUCGAAGACGAUCAGAUACCGUCGUAGUCUUAACCAUAAACUAUGCCGACUAGGGAUCGGAUGAUGUUAAUUUUUAAUGACUCAUUCGGCGCCUUACG
rnacentral:rRNA from 1 species